rnacentral:lncRNA from 1 species
GCACCCUAUGCCAUCAGAACUUCGAACAAAUUGUCACCGAAUUUGUGGUGCCUGUGAGUCACAGGUUUAAAACUUAGAAAACUUUUUAUCUAGUGGUGCCAACGAUCAAAGCAUCGGGACUAAAAAGAUAUUUCAUGAAAAUGACUGUGAAUUAGACGAACUUCAACUAAAGUGGUGCCGACGGAACAAGCCAUUAGCCACUCCGACCGAAAAAUAUUCAAUCCAACUAAGUGCGGAGCGACGUCGUCAGGGUUAGUGCUUCUUUUAAUCAAUUUUACAGUGUUCAAUAGGGGUGGGCAAAAUACCCAACCCGACCCGAUCCGAAAAAAUUCGGGUUCGGAUCGGUUCGGGUUGUUAUUGAAAUCCGAAUGGGUGAAAAAUUACAAACCCGAUCGGGCUGUGAUCGGGUCGGUAAAACCCGAUUCGAUCUGAAUAUCCGAUCGGGUCACACCAAAAAAAAAAAAAACCUGACUAAAUCUAUAAACACAUCACACAUGCACACACCACACACCACACACAAGGGCGCACACAAAGUCUCAACUAAAAAACAAUUAGCUAAAAAACAAUUGACAAAUAAAAAACAAAAUCAAAUUAUAACCCACGCACACAACCAUAUCUCGCUACUUUCACAGCCCUCAUCUUCACAGCCCUCUCAUCUUCACAGCCCUCUCAUCCUCACACUCAUGACUUCACGUGCACAAACACAUCCUCAUCCUCAUCCUCACGCUCAUGACUUUCACAGCCUGCAAACGCAGAGAAGAGAGCGGAGGAAGCACAGCCAGCGCAUGUAGCCACCUAACCCGCGACCGGAUCUACUGCUCCGCAACAUCCGUAGCUACCAGAUCUGCUGUUACCGGAUAUCUACCAAAUCUGCUGUUGCCGGAUAUCUACCGGAUCUGCUGCUACUAGAUCCGAUGCGCUGCUAUCGGGUCAGAUGCUGCUGGAUCUGCUGUUGCAGCCUCCACCAUCACCAGGAUCUGCUGUUGCAGCCUCCACCAUCACCAAGCUCCACCGCGAACUGGCAAUCUGAAUUCUUUUUUUUUUCUUGCUGUUUUGAUGGUAUAUAAUACUAUAUUAUAUAUUAUCUGUUAAUCGCUAAAUAUAUGUAUUGUUAAAUGUUAAUAAUAAAAUGAGGGAAAUUCUUGUAUGGAAAAUUUUGGAGCUUAAUUUAUUAAGUCCGUGGAAGCUUAAAUUAUAAGUAUGAAUUGAUUUUUUUUUUGUUUUGUUUUUAGUGAAUAGAUUAAGCACUAAAAUUAAAUAUUUUACUUUGAUCUGUGUAGUAGCUUCACUCGAUCCGAAUUAGCCCGAAUUUAAUCCGAUUAUUUGACCCGAUCCGAUCUGAUCCAAAUAUGUUCGGAUCGGGUCGGAUCGGGUUAUAACUUCGGGUUAAGUUAGGAUGAAUUCUUUUCUAACCCGAUCAACUCGAAAAUCCGAUCGGGUUGAUCCGAACUCGACCCGAACCCAAAAAUGUCCACCCCUAGUGUUCAAUCAUAAUAAUAUGCAUCCAAAAAAAAAAUCAUAAUUUUUUUGGGCAUAAUAACCAAGAAAUGAUUAUAAAAUUAAAAAAUAAAAAUAAAAAAAGUGAAAAAUAGGCCUCGCUGCUGGUGUAUGUGAUUGUAACCGUUCGAAUUUAU